GCACCCAUCGUCUAGUCUGGUCCUAGGACGCCACCCUUUCAAGGUGGAAACAUCGGUUCAAAUCCGAUUGGGUGUUCCA
rnacentral:tRNA from 1 species